CUUCCCCCUUGCACAUGCCUCACAAACUUUGUCUUCCUUAAACUUGAUAUUAGGUAACCCUAUCACCAAGUCUUUGGAGACUAAUUUGUUAAAUUGAUUUAGACUGGCAUGGACAAGUCUUUUUUGCCAAAGGAGGGGAUAAAUUAAUUAACACGCUUAAGCAAGUGAGUUCAUUUUCAGAGAGAGUUGACAAAUAUACAAUGUAAAUACUGUUA
rnacentral:lncRNA from 1 species